rnacentral:lncRNA from 1 species
GGGAUUUAUAAAAUUAAAUAAAUCUAAAGGUAUGUAACUCUGCCUUGGAGGACUCUUAAUCCAGGUAGGGUUCGUACUAGGUGGCUUGAUGUGUGUCCUAAAAGAUGGUAGUUCGAUUAAUUUUUUUCAAGAUGCUGGUGGAUAAAUGUGUUUUAGGAAGAGGGGACCCCUUUGCUUUAAGUAUCAUAGAUAAAGUCUGGCUAGGAAGAAUGAAUAUAAUAUGAGGAAAUGAUAAGAAAGGAUAAGAUAAAUUGAAAUAGAUAAGACAAGAUAUCAGGCAGAGUAUGGAAGAGAAAACAUGCAAGAAAGAGAUAAGAUGACUGCCAGAAUGAGGGUGACAAAUCGUGUUGAUCUCGGUUUUGAACCAAUUCUACUCAAACCCUUGUUCUUUUCCACUGGACAGGUACUGUGCUUAUUAUCAGUGAUACUCCAACAGGGCCAGGGAGAUGCAUCUCUGCACCCACAGAUGCUCACUGAUCAUCCCCCAAGGCUCACCAAUCAUCCACCAAUGGUUGGUGCAGGCAGAGAUGGCAGCAAUGUUCAGAACAACAUGUACAGGAAUGAGGGUCAGAUCUACAAUAGGCAGCCCAGAACUCCUCCUUUCUAUGUGAUCCACUCUGUCCAUAACACUCAAUCAAGAGUGCAUCUGGCAAGAACAAGAAUCAUCUUGUGAUUUACCAGAUGGCAAUUCAGUUCUCCAGCUGGAUUGGGAACCCCAGAGGACCCAUCCCUUCCUGAAAGAUUCCAGCCAUACUACCUCUGCAUUGCAGCUUUACCGACAGCCACAGAGAUUUCGUGGCCUCCAGGCUGAAUGAGCAGGUAACCUAGGUCUGGAAGGUUCCAUAGGUGACACUGUCCUUAGACAUUACUUCAGUGGACACAUUCUGGACCAGAAUAAUCACAGUUGUGGGAAUCCUCCAAAAUUCAUAAUUGUAAAAUAUUA